CUCUCAACUUUCAAAUGAAGAGACUAAGGUUCUCAGAGGUGAAAUAGCUUGUCCAAGGUCACGCUGCUGGUAAGAGGCAGAGCCAGGAUAUGGGUCUGUAUGAUUUCAGAAUCUUUUUUUUUUUUUUUUUUGAGAUUGAGUCUUGCUCUGUUGCCCAGGCUGGAGUGUAGUGGUGCGAUCUUGGCUCACUGCAACCUCUGCCUCCUAGGUUCAAGCGAUUCUCCUGCUGCAGCCUCCCGAGUAGCUAGGAUUACAGGUGUGAGCCACCACACCUGGCCAAUUUUUGUAUUUUUAGUAGAGAUGGAGUUUCACCAUGUUGGCUAGGCCAGUCUCGAACUCCUGACCUCAAGUGAUCCACCCGCCUCAGACCCCCUACAUAGCUAGGAUUACAGGCAUGAGCCACUGGGCCUGGCCUUAUUUCAGAAUCUUAACCCUUAAACUCUGACCACAUGCCCUAGUGAGGGAGGCAAGCAUACCCAGAGAGGUCUUAAGAUGCCUGAGGUGCCAGGAGAGCAUGGAGAUGCCUGGGAAAAAGUAUCAUAUACAUUUGGAAACUUGAAAAUUGACAUAUGAUAAUGGACUUUAGGAAAUGAAUGUGUAGAGGAAGAAGUCAGGUGAUGCUGGUGUCCUGGGGACCACUCCACGGAAGGAGAAGACACUGGGAAUAGAAGACCUUUGAAAAUCGUGAUGGGCUUAAAGAUCCCAGCGCAGGUCCCACCACUUAUUCGCUCUCACCUGGCAUCUCAAUCUCUGCAUCUGUAAAAAUGAAGAAAAUAAUCCAUCUCCCUGGAUGACUUCAUGAGAUUUUUUGUAGUCAUCAGUGAGGUACUGUACAUAGACGUGCUGUAAGGACGAAAAGUUCUUCACAAUAGGAUGCAUGGGAAAGCAAGCAGGGAGCAGUGGAGGAGGCUGAACCCAGAACGUGGGCUGAGGAUGCUGGGAGGGAACAGGGUUGGGGGCUGAAUCCUAACAGGAGGAAGCUACUGAGCUGCUUCUGUAAGUUGGGCCUGGAUGGAAACCCUGGAAGCAGUAACUCCAAGAAAGAUUCAAAAGUGGGACAAGAAGAGCAAGAACCAGGAAUGGAAAAACUCCAAGGAACAUGAGUGAAGAGCCUCGAAAAAACAGGACACUCACAGUUCAGGAAACUACCAAGGGUCCAAGGAGAGGCCUUGCUUGGCCGUGGUGUGGUCCUGCAACUCCAGGGCAGACCUAGACUCAUGGGAAAGUCCCUGCUUUGUGAUGAGGCUGAAAGAGGAUGAGUGGGGAGUGGCCGGAAGAAGAAAGGGUGUAACCAGAGACCAGUGUCAACAAGGAAUCUGGCUUGGAACGCUUUUGUCUGCAGCCCUCUUUGGAGCGUGACUUGCUCUUUCAGAGGUCUGUAUUUCUCUACCUGGACUACCCUGAGAGCUAACCCCAGUUAUUGGUCUGGAAGCAACGAAUGAAGGCCGGGGCAGAGCUUGAGGAGGGCAACAUCAUUUUGUCACAGUCGCCAUCAAGAAUCUAGUUGCAGACUGGGCGCUGUGGCUCACGCCUGUAAUCCCUGCACUUUGGGAGCCAAGAUCUGAAGAAGAAAACAGAAGCAACAUUCAAAUUAACAUCAGUCAACUGAUGGAAUAUUUUAGAUGAAGUAAGAGAAGCCAAGGCAUGUACCCUCAGGCUCUGGGCUUCUCCCUGCAAGGUUGGGAAGAAAUUUGGAGGAGGCAAAGUGGGAGCAAGUCAGAUGGAAGAGACAUUAUGGGUCAGGUGGGUGAGAACUGUGGGAGGGAGGUUCAGGGUGCUCCAUUUAGCAGGUUUUUCAUAGUGCCUGUGCAGUCCAGGGCUCUGAUUUCUGUAAGCAGAACGAUGUCAUUCAUUCUUUUAUUCAUCUAUUUGUUAAGUCAACAUUUAUUGAGAGUCUCUUAUGCUACUCACUGUGCUAGGUGGUAGGGCUCAAAGAUGAAUAAAACGCUGUUUCCUUUUUUUUCAG
rnacentral:lncRNA from 1 species